rnacentral:rRNA from 1 species
UGGGACUUACGGGGGCAGCAGUAGGGAAUCUUCCACAAUGGACGAAAGUCUGAUGGAGCAACGCCGCGUGAGUGAAGAAGGGUUUCGGCUCGUAAAGCUCUGUUGGGAGUGAAGAAAGAUAGAGGUAGUAACUGGCCUUUAUUUGACGGUAAUUACUUAGAAAGUCACGGCUAACUACGUGCCAGCAGCCGCGGUAAUACGUAGGGGGCAAGGGUUGUCCGGAUUUAUUGGGCGUAAAGCGAGUGCAGGGGGGUGCAUAA